UAAGACUGUGUUGUAAGUCUUUCUAACCUGUCAGUCACACAAGAAAAAAAACGUUGUGUUUUCUCAAAGGAGUUUUUAGGGAAACAGUUGAUUGCAGACUUGCUGAUCCUCCUAUUGCCUCUGUUUUUGAGAUGGGAAACGUUGUUCCAGUAAGUGAUGGGAGUCCUGUGGGGGCUCUGCAGAGCAGAAGAGGCACCGAUGCAGAAAACGCACUGGUGUCACCGAGCAGGAGAACAUGGCACAACUCAUGAAUCACAGGCCAGAAUGCCGUUCCUCUUAUUGAGAUAAAUGGGGCAGCAAGCCCUUGGGAUUGCAGGACGUCACUUUCACUUAGGAACUUGGCGCCAAAGCUGGAGUCCAAUGGACAGGAACCCAUCACCCCUUGACCUAGGCAGAAGGGAGAUUUGGAGACUGAAAGCAGCCGCUGAGGGUCACUGGCCACGUUGAGAAACUUCUGCAGGACAAAUGUAGAUGUGAGCGGAUCAUUCUUAUAAAGGUAAAGGGACCCCUGACCAUUAGGUCCAGUCGUGACCAACUCUGGGGUUGCGGCGCUCAUCUCGCUUUACUGGCCGAGGGAGCCAGCGUACAGCUUCUGGGUCAUGUGGCCAGCAUGACUAAGCCCCUUCUGGCAAACCAGAACAGUGCAUGGAAACGCCCUUUACCUUCCUGCCGUGGUACCUAUUUAUCUACUUGCACUUGGACAUGCUUUCGAACUGCUAGGUUGGCAGGAGCAGGGACCAAAGAACAGGAGCUCACCCUGUCACGGUGAUUGGAACCACCAACCUUCUGAUCGGCAAGCCCUAAGCUCAGUGGUUUAACCCACAGCGCCACCCGUGUCCCCAUCAUUCUCAUAGGCUGCCACUAAUUCACUCACUUAAUUGUACUUCGAAUACGCACUCCACUGAGGCCACUUGCCGCAGACCCAGGAACCUGAUCUAGUUACAUCACAGGUGGGGGGACCUUUUACAACCCAGGGCCCACAUUCCUUUCUGGGCAACCCCUCGAAGGGCCACACACCAGUGGUGGGUGGGACCAGAGGCAAAAGGGGCAGAGCAACGAAUGCAAAUUCUACGCUUGUACCACUGGCUAGUUUCUGCACACACAACAUUUAACAUUUCCCACAGUGCCCCAGAGUAAUGGAAAGUGUGGUGCUGUGCAGCAUUGUGGGAAGUUUAGAACCAAGGUUUCCCAUCCAUCUGGCAGUGCUGCCAUAUGGUGAGCAAUGUGUUUGUUGGGGGGCACCAAACAGCACUUUGCUUGAGGUAAAUUUAUUGGUAGAACUUGAGUAAUUUGGUCUUCCAGAUCAAUCCAUGGGCAUGGCACAUUUCGCUGAGACUCGGUGUUCUCUGGCUGUAAAAUAGGACUUUAUGCUUAGGAAGGCAGCAACAACAACAGUUUUUCAACUUUCUUAAUAGCCAUUUGGGUCAGCUAUGAACCCCAAAGCAUAGGAGGAUUAAGCAAACUUGCAUACAAAAAGGUAGUUUUAGGGCACUGCAACCAAUUCCUCUGCACUGGGCACCAAGCAGAGAGGGCAUCCAGUAAGCACUUGCUACAGGAAGAAGGUGUGAGGGUUCUGACAAGAAGGUGUGGGGUUGUGGCGCUCAUCUCGCUUUAUUGGCCGAGGGAGCCGGUGUACAGCUUCCGGGUCAUGUGGCUAGCAUGACCAAGCCCCUUCCUGCCGGAGAGGUACCUAUUUAUCUACUUGCACUUUGACAUGCUUUUGAACUGCUAGGUUGGCAGGAGCAGAGACCGAGCAACGGGAGCUCACCCCGUCGCGGGGAUUUGAACCGCCGACCUUCUGAUUGGCAAGUCCUAGGCUCUGUGGUUUAACCCACAGCGCCACCCGCGUCCCUAUAGUACUAUUACCUAUCUUUUAAAAAACCACUGCGAGGUUUGUUUCGAAAGGUGUACAAUUUUUAUGAAAUAAAUAAUAAUAAAUAAUAUUAUAUGCUAUGUACUUAGGAAGCAGCCUAGAAGUGUAAAUUAAUUCACAAUUCAGCACAAAAUCAAAAAUUCAAAGUGAGCAUUGUGUUUAGAAUCUUGUUAAGUUUCAAGGUGUUAAAUUAUUUUGUUUUCCGCCCCCCUUCCUGAAAUGUGUAAAUCCAACAGUAUUUUGGGGAGGUAGGGUGGGGAUCAAAUUAGGAGAAUGUGAAUAUUAAGUUUAGCAAGCAAAUUUGAUGUAGAAGAAGUUGCUGGGGGAUUUUUACCCCUCCCUGAGUGCAUUUCAGCUCAAGUUUCUGUUUACUUUUUUGGGCCACGCUCAGCUCACGUCUCUUUGGAGGUGAUAGGAGAAGAUUCCUUGAACAUUUCAGCUGAUGGCAGACUCUAAUGAGGAUAUAUGGCCAGCCACCAAGAACAUGUAUAUUUAAUGAUCUCUGUUAAGGAAGUUUUAGAAGUGCUUUCCCCAUAGACUCAAUGAUGGCUUCUUUGUUUAUGUGCAUAAUCCACUUUUCCUGACACCACAAGUAACAAAUUCUCAGUUCCCCAGUGCCACUGUUGGACAAUCCUGGUGAUGUGCUGAUUGAUUGACUUACUGAUUGAUUGUGCAUUGGGCUAUUGCCUACGGGGCAUUUUGCAACUCACUCAUGCCAAAAGAGAAAAUGAAUGGAAAACAAGAGAAAUUGCGGAAGAAUUUGGAGCAAACAGGAGGAAGGAAAGGUGUGGAUGUGAGAGUAUGUGUGGCCCUCCUUAUGUUGUUGGACUCCCACCUCAUAGGGCUCUUUCUGAGCAAGCUGACUGGGUUCGCUAGGUUUGCUCUCUGGGACUUCCACAGGAAAAAUGGAGAUGAAAUCUAUCCACUGCAGCCUAUGGACUCCCAGAGAGAGUAAGAUGAAGCAACAUUGCCUUCUUGUUCUCCCUCUGGAAAGUUGUUUCCAGAAAGAAUGGCUGGGGGCUUUUGGUUGGACAGUAGUGAUAGGAGUUGGGCCCAAUCAGACAGACCCAAUGAGGGCAACUUGCCUCAGAGUCCACCAAAACCAGGAGCUGGUCCUGGAGUCUGUGAGACCUUGAUCCCUGGAGAGAUAUUCAGGAUUCUUUCUCUGAAUUUGCCACUUGUCAUUAAAAACAAACCUGUGGGUGCCAUCCAGUGCUGGUCCUACUCACAGAAAGCCUGUUAAGUUAAUACAUAUGGAUAGCUUUGGUUUUCUUAAUUUCAAAGGGUCUACAUAGGACUCAGUUGGCCACAACCCCAAUAAGUCUCACAUCUUUUUACAAUUGUUUGCGUUGUAGCCAGUUACUCAAGAAAAGGGUCAAACUGUGCUGACCUCCUCAGGGCUUGGAGAAUGAGUACAAAGGCAUUGGAAUAACUGAUGAGAACAAGCAACUUUAAAAAAACCCAACAACAGCAUGCUAUUUUAUUAAUAUUGAAAUCAACAUACUGUGCAACUUGUAUUUCAGAUCUGACUAGAUUGCAUGACUCUAUCUAUACCUCUCUCACCCUUUUAGGUAUAGAUGAAUCCAGUGAUUUUUAAAAAGGAAAAGGGAAAGAAAGGUGCCAGUGUUCACUCUGAAGUUGUUAUACUAAGUGCCACACUUUUAAUCUUUGGGAAAAUGGUGCAAGGACUGUGGACCCUUGCAUACCUCCAUAAAAAACAAAAUACAGUGGAACCUUGGGUUGCAAACGUGAUCCGUGCGGGAGGCACGUUCGCAACCAGCAGUGUUCGCAACCUGCAGCGCUGUGUCUGCGCACACGUGGAUCGCGAUUUGGCACUUCUGCGCAUGCGCAAAGCGUGAUUUAGUAUUUCUGUGCAUGCGCGAGCGCUGAAACCCAGAAGUAACCCGUUUUGGUACUUCCAGGUUCAGUGCGGUGUGCAACCCGAAAAUGCAUAAUCUGAAGCAUCUGUAACCCGAGGUACCACUGUAGAUAAAUCUGUUAUUGAUGGUAUCUCUUAGUUUCUCAUUUUCCAAAUUUUAAGUUCAGCUCAUAUCUCUAUCAACAUUUUUUUAAAUUUAGAAAUGUACUCACAAAAGUUCAUAUUCAUUAAUUCAUUUGCUGUUAAUGCUAAAUUUAAAUCCUGUCCUGCCUUCUAAAGGGGCCCAGAGUGGGAAACACAUCAGUGUGAUAAAACAUUACAAUUUUUUAAAAAAAUUAUUAAAUAAGCACGAGAGAUAAUUUAAAAUAAUUCCAGCACAAAUGUGGGCUGGGAAAAAGGUCUUUACUUGAAGGGCUUGUUGAAAGAGUGAGGUCUUUAGAAGGUGUAGAAAGGACAAUAGAGACUGCCCCUGUCUAAUAUUUAAUGUGAGGGAAUUUCAAAUGGAACAAUUUCCUGAGCAUUUUUCCAAAAACAACUUUCAUACAUAAUUUUGGUGAGCAACUUUGCAUAAGAAAAUACAUGGUGUAUAUAUGAUUUUUUUUUAAUGCGUAUUUCCCCCUAACAGACAUUUUUUUGCUUGGAGAACCGCACUGCAAAAUUCAUAAAAGUGUCACUUUCAAAGGAUAGUUGUAUUUUGGCUCAUGUAUAGUUUGGGGGAAGUAUGAAUUAGGUAAUUUUAAAUUAAAAUGAGAAAUGUAACUGGUAAACUUGUCCCAGGUUGCUAAGGGCUUUCUGUGCUAAUGCCAACACCUUGAACCUGGCCAGUACAAAUCUCGGAGCACAAGUGUUAUAUGCUGACAACGCCUCAGUCUUGUCAGCAGUUAUUCUGCAGCUUUCUGCACUAACUGCAGCUUCUGGAUCAAAUGCAAGGGAAUCCUCACAUAGUGUGCAUUGCAAUAAUCCAGCUAUUGCCUUACCAUGGGGUAAGGCAGUUUCUUAUGUUCCUUAGAAUUACAAAAUUGUGGAGUUGGAAGGGACCACGAGGGUCAUCUACGCCAACCCCCUGCAAUGCUGAAAUCGUUCACCUAAUGUGGAGAUCGAACCCACAACCCUGAGGUUAAGAGUCUUAUGCUUUACCAACUGAGCCAGCUCAGCCUAAAUG